GACGAACGCUGGCGGCGUGCUUAACACAUGCAAGUCGAACGGAAAGGCCCUGCUUUUGUGGGGUGCUCGAGUGGCGAACGGGUGAGUAACACGUGAGUAACCUGCCCUUGACUUUGGGAUAACUUCAGGAAACUGGGGCUAAUACCGGAUAGGAGCUCCUGCUGCAUGGUGGGGGUUGGAAAGUUUCGGCGGUUGGGGAUGGACUCGCGGGUUAUCAGCUUGUUGGUGGGGUGGUGGCUUACCAAGGCUUUGACGGGUAGCCGGCCUGGGAGGGUGACCGGCCACAUUGGGACUGAGAUACGGCCCAGACUCCUACGGGAGGCAGCAGUGGGGAAUAUUGCACAAUGGGCGGAAGCCUGAUGCAGCAACGCCGCGUGCGGGAUGACGGCCUUCGGGUUGUAAACCGCUUUCGCCUGUGACGAAGCGUGAGUGACGGUAAUGGGUAAAGAAGCACCGGCUAACUACGUG
rnacentral:rRNA from 1 species